UAGGGGAAUUUUCCGCAAUGGGCGAAAGCCUGACGGAGCAAUACCGCGUGAGGGAGGAAGGCUCUUGGGUUGUAAACCUCUUUUCUCAGGAAAUAAAAAUGAAGGUAUCUGAGGAAUCAGCAUCGGCUAACUCCGUGCCAGCAGCCGCGGUAAUACGGAGGAUGCAAGCGUUAUCCGGAAUGAUUGGGCGUAAAGGGUCCGCAGGUGGCAGUGAAAGUCUGCUGUCAAAGAGUGCAGCUCAACCGCAUAAAGGCAGUGGAAACUACACAGCUAGAGUAAGUUAGGGGCAGAGGGAAUUCCGGUGUAGCGGUGAAAUGGGUAGAGAUCAGGAAGAACCCCGGGGCGAAAGCGCUCUGCUAGGACGCAACUGACACCUGAGGAUGAAUGGAAA
rnacentral:rRNA from 1 species